GGGUUAGAUACCCCACUAUGCCCAGACGUUAACMCUGAUAUUUUAUCCGCCAGAGAACAACGAGCCAUGCUUAAAACUCAAAGGACUUGGCGGCAUUCCACACCACCCUAGAGGGGCCUGUCUUAUAAUCGAUAACCCACGAUAAACCUCACCACUUUUAGCCCCAUCAGCCUAUAUACCGCCGUCGCCAGCCCAUCUUGAAAAGGAAAUAAAAUGGACACAAUAGUCUUACUACACUAAAACGACAGGUCAAGGUGUAGCUCAUGAAGCGGCCUUGAUGGACCACAUUGCUUACUCAAGCCAAACCAAAACUGCACUGAAAUACACAUUUUAAGGUGAAUUUAACAGUAAAAUAAACAAGAAAAUUUGUUUAAAAACUGCUCUGGAACGUGCACACASGGSCCGUCACCC
rnacentral:rRNA from 1 species